rnacentral:rRNA from 1 species
CCUACGGGUGGCAGCAGUGAGGAAUAUUGGUCAAUGGGCGAUACCCUGAACCAGCCAAGCCGCGUGAAGGAUGACUGCCCUAUGGGUUGUAAACCUCUUUUAUAUGGGAAUAAAGUGCAGUACGUAUACUGCCCUGCAUGUAUCCUAUGAAUAAGGAUCGGCUAACUCCGUGCCAGCAGCCGCGGUAAUCCGGAGGAUCCGAGCGUUAUCCGGAUUUAUUGGGUUUAAAGGGAGCGUAGUCGGGUUGUUAAGUCAGUUGUGAAAGUUUGCGGCUCAACCGUAAAAUUGCAGUUGAUACUGGCAGGCUGGAGUACAGUAGAGGUAGGCGGAAGUCGUGGUGUAGCGGUGAAAUGCUUAGAUAUCACGAAGAACUCCGAUUGCGAAGGCAGCCUGCUGGACUGUAACUGACGCUGAGGCUCGAAAGUGUGGGUAUCAAACAGGAUUAGAUACCCUAGUAGUC